UACGGAGGGUGCGAGCGUUGUCCGGAAUCAUUGGGCGUAAAGCGCGUGUAGGCGGCUCGAUAAGUCUGCUGUAAAAGUCCAGGGCUCAACCCUGGAAAGCCGGCGGAAACUGUCGAGCUAGAGUCCGGAAGAGGCGAGUGGAAUUCCUGGUGUAGCGGUGAAAUGCGCAGAUAUCAGGAGGAACACCAAUGGCGAAGGCAGCUCGCUGGGACGGUACUGACGCUGAGACGCGAAAGCGUGGGGAGCAAACAGG
rnacentral:rRNA from 1 species